rnacentral:tRNA from 1 species
AAAAACUUAGGAUAAACAAACCAAGAGCCUUCAAAGCCCUAAAUAGAAGUCAAACCCUUCUAGUUUUUG